rnacentral:rRNA from 1 species
ACUGAAUCCAUAGGUUAAUGAGGCGAACCGGGGGAACUGAAACAUCUAAGUACCCCGAGGAAAAGAAAUCAACCGAGAUUCCCCCAGUAGCGGCGAGCGAACGGGGAGGAGCCCAGAGCCUGAAUCAGUGUGUGUGUUAGUGGAAGCGUCUGGAAAGGCGCGCGAUACAGGGUGACAGCCCCGUACACAAAAAUGCACAUGCUGUGAGCUCGAUGAGUAGGGCGGGACACGUGGUAUCCUGUCUGAAUAUGGGGGGACCAUCCUCCAAGGCUAAAUACUCCUGACUGACCGAUAGUGAACCAGUACCGUGAGGGAAAGGCGAAAAGAACCCCGGCGAGGGGAGUGAAAAAGAACCUGAAACCGUGUACGUACAAGCAGUGGGAGCACAGAGCAAUCUGUGUGACUGCGUACCUUUUGUAUAAUGGGUCAGCGACUUAUAUUCUGUAGCAAGGUUAACCGAAUAGGGGAGCCGAAGGGAAACCGAGUCUUAACUGGGCGUUAAGUUGCAGGGUAUAGACCCGAAACCCGGUGAUCUAGCCAUGGGCAGGUUGAAGGUUGGGUAACACUAACUGGAGGACCGAACCGACUAAUGUUGAAAAAUUAGCGGAUGACUUGUGGCUGGGGGUGAAAGGCCAAUCAAACCGGGAGAUAGCUGGUUCUCCCCGAAAGCUAUUUAGGUAGCGCCUCGUGAAUUCAUCUCCGGGGGUAGAGCACUGUUUCGGCAAGGGGGUCAUCCCGACUUACCAACCCGAUGCAAACUGCGAAUACCGGAGAAUGUUAUCACGGGAGACACACGGCGGGUGCUAACGUCCGUCGUGAAGAGGGAAACAACCCAGACCGCCAGCUAAGGUCCCAAAGUCAUGGUUAAGUGGGAAACGAUGUGGGAAGGCCCAGACAGCCAGGAUGUUGGCUUAGAAGCAGCCAUCAUUUAAAGAAAGCGUAAUAGCUCACUGGUCGAGUCGGCCUGCGCGGAAGAUGUAACGGGGCUAAACCAUGCACCGAAGCUGCGGCAGCGACACUAUGUGUUGUUGGGUAGGGGAGCGUUCUGUAAGCCUGUGAAGGUGUGCUGUGAGGCAUGCUGGAGGUAUCAGAAGUGCGAAUGCUGACAUAAGUAACGAUAAAGCGGGUGAAAAGCCCGCUCGCCGGAAGACCAAGGGUUCCUGUCCAACGUUAAUCGGGGCAGGGUGAGUCGACCCCUAAGGCGAGGCCGAAAGGCGUAGUCGAUGGGAAACAGGUUAAUAUUCCUGUACUUGGUGUUACUGCGAAGGGGGGACGGAGAAGGCUAUGUUGGCCGGGCGACGGUUGUCCCGGUUUAAGCGUGUAGGCUGGUUUUCCAGGCAAAUCCGGAAAAUCAAGGCUGAGGCGUGAUGACGAGGCACUACGGUGCUGAAGCAACAAAUGCCCUGCUUCCAGGAAAAGCCUCUAAGCAUCAGGUAACAUCAAAUCGUACCCCAAACCGACACAGGUGGUCAGGUAGAGAAUACCAAGGCGCUUGAGAGAACUCGGGUGAAGGAACUAGGCAAAAUGGUGCCGUAACUUCGGGAGAAGGCACGCUGAUAUGUAGGUGAAGCGACUUGCUCGUGGAGCUGAAAUCAGUCGAAGAUACCAGCUGGCUGCAACUGUUUAUUAAAAACACAGCACUGUGCAAACACGAAAGUGGACGUAUACGGUGUGACGCCUGCCCGGUGCCGGAAGGUUAAUUGAUGGGGUCAGCGCAAGCGAAGCUCUUGAUCGAAGCCCCGGUAAACGGCGGCCGUAACUAUAACGGUCCUAAGGUAGCGAAAUUCCUUGUCGGGUAAGUUCCGACCUGCACGAAUGGCGUAAUGAUGGCCAGGCUGUCUCCACCCGAGACUCAGUGAAAUUGAACUCGCUGUGAAGAUGCAGUGUACCCGCGGCAAGACGGAAAGACCCCGUGAACCUUUACUAUAGCUUGACACUGAACAUUGAGCCUUGAUGUGUAGGAUAGGUGGGAGGCUUUGAAGUGUGGACGCCAGUCUGCAUGGAGCCGACCUUGAAAUACCACCCUUUAAUGUUUGAUGUUCUAACGUUGACCCGUAAUCCGGGUUGCGGACAGUGUCUGGUGGGUAGUUUGACUGGGGCGGUCUCCUCCUAAAGAGUAACGGAGGAGCACGAAGGUUGGCUAAUCCUGGUCGGACAUCAGGAGGUUAGUGCAAUGGCAUAAGCCAGCUUGACUGCGAGCGUGACGGCGCGAGCAGGUGCGAAAGCAGGUCAUAGUGAUCCGGUGGUUCUGAAUGGAAGGGCCAUCGCUCAACGGAUAAAAGGUACUCCGGGGAUAACAGGCUGAUACCGCCCAAGAGUUCAUAUCGACGGCGGUGUUUGGCACCUCGAUGUCGGCUCAUCACAUCCUGGGGCUGAAGUAGGUCCCAAGGGUAUGGCUGUUCGCCAUUUAAAGUGGUACGCGAGCUGGGUUUAGAACGUCGUGAGACAGUUCGGUCCCUAUCUGCCGUGGGCGCUGGAGAACUGAGGGGGGCUGCUCCUAGUACGAGAGGACCGGAGUGGACGCAUCACUGGUGUUCGGGUUGUCAUGCCAAUGGCACUGCCCGGUAGCUAAAUGCGGAAGAGAUAAGUGCUGAAAGCAUCUAAGCACGAAACUUGCCCCGAGAUGAGUUCUCCCUGACUCCUUGAGAGUCCUGAAGGAACGUUGAAGACGACGACGUUGAUAGGCCGGGUGUGUAAGCGCAGCGAUGCGUUGAGCUAACCGGUACUAAUGAACCGUGAG